rnacentral:rRNA from 1 species
UACGGAGGGGGCUAGCGUUGUUCGGAAUUACUGGGCGUAAAGCGCACGUAGGCGGCUUUGUAAGUUAGAGGUGAAAGCCCGGGGCUCAACUCCGGAAUUGCCUUUAAGACUGCAUCGCUAGAAUUGUGGAGAGGUAAGUGGAAUUCCGAGUGUAGAGGUGAAAUUCGUAGAUAUUCGGAAGAACACCAGUGGCGAAGGCGACUUACUGGACACAUAUUGACGCUGAGGUGCGAGAGCGUGGGGAGCAAACAGG